GACGAACGCUGGCGGCGUGCUUAACACAUGCAAGUCGAACGGAAAGGCCCUGCUUUUGUGGGGUGCUCGAGUGGCGAACGGGUGAGUAGCACGUGAGUAACCUGCCCUUGACUUUGGGAUAACUCCAGGAAACUGGGGCUAAUACCGGAUAGGAGCUCCUGCUGCAUGGUGGGGGUUGGAAAGUUUCGGCGGUUGGGGAUGGACUCGCGGCUUAUCAGCUUGUUGGUGGGGUAGUGGCUUACCAAGGCUUUGACGGGUAGCCGGCCUGGGAGGGUGACCGGCCACAUUGGGACUGAGAUACGGCCCAGACUCCUACGGGGGGCAGCAGUGGGGAAUAUUGCACAAUGGGCGGAAGCCUGAUGCAGCAACGCCGCGUGCGGGAUGACGGCCUUCGGGUUGUAAACCGCGUUCGCCUGUGACGAAGCGUGAGUGACGGUAAUGGGUAAAGAAGCACCGGCUAACUACGUG
rnacentral:rRNA from 1 species